AUUGAACGCUGGCGGCAUGCCUUACACAUGCAAGUCGAACGGUAACAGGUCUUCGGAUGCUGACGAGUGGCGAACGGGUGAGUAAUACAUCGGAACGUGCCCGAGAGUGGGGGAUAACGAGGCGAAAGCCUUGCUAAUACCGCAUACGAUCUCAGGAUGAAAGCAGGGGACCGCAAGGCCUUGCGCUCACGGAGCGGCCGGUGGCAGAUUAGGUAGUUGGUGGGAUAAAAGCUUACCAAGCCGACGAUCUGUAGCUGGUCUGAGAGGACGACCAGCCACACUGGGACUGAGGCCCGGCCCAGACUCCUACGGGAGGCAGCAGUGGGGAAUGUUGGAGAAUGGGCGAAAGCCUGAUCCAGCCAUGCCGCGUGCAGGAUGAAGGCCUUCGGGUUGUAAACUGCUUUUGUACGGAACGAAAAGACUCUGGUUAAUACCUGGGGUCCAUGACGGUACCGUAAGAAUAAGCACCGGCUAACUACGUGCCAGCCGCCGCCGUAACAC
rnacentral:rRNA from 1 species